rnacentral:rRNA from 1 species
CCCUUAGAUGUCCUGGGCCGCACGCGCGCUACACUGAUGCAUUCAACGAGUAUUUCCUUGGCCGAGAGGCCUGGGCAAUCUUUUAAACCUGCAUCGUGAUAGGGAUAGAUUAUUGAAAUUAUUAAUCUUGAACGAGGAAUUCCUAGUAAACGCAGAUCAUCAAUCUGCAUUGAUUACGUCCCUGCCCUUUGUACACACCGCCCGUCGCACCUACCGAUUGGAUGGUCCGGUGAAGCCUCGGGAUUGUGGUUCUUGCCGCUUUAUUGUGGCGUGACCGCGAGAACUUGUCUAAACCUUAUCAUCUAGAGGAAGGUGAAGUCGUAACA